rnacentral:tRNA from 1 species
GCCAUGAUAGUAUAAACAUUACUCUGGUCUUGUAAACCAAAAAUGAGGAACCUAUCCUC